UUUUUCAGAACAAGUAUGCAGGUUAUUUAAAACUGAGUUAUAUAUAGUCAUUUACCAGCAGCAAAACACUUCUGGCAUUACCAUGAAUGCUCCCUCUCUGCAGGAAUUCCCCCCCCCCCGCCAAAACUAGCAUUUUUCUUCACCGAGAACCAACCAGCCUUUAUUUUUAAAAGCCAAGUGCAUACUUCUGUCCCCCAAAACAAACAAAUCACUGACUACUAUUCCAUUCUACGCUAAUGAAACUGUGGAGAAAGAUCCCAGGCGUUGUCAGAGCCUAUUUUUCAUACACCACCACCAGACAGUUUGAUGCAGUAUUCCUGAUUGCUUUUUAUCGUAUUUGUAAAUACAGUCACUAAUCCACUAAAUUAGGUAAUUUACAAACAGGUCCUCUCAGUUAUUAGUGGCCAGCAGUCAAGUUCUAUUACAUCUGAUCCUUGUACAGUUGUCCAAACAUUUCCACCCAGGCUAAAGGCUCCGAUCGGAAAGAGAAAGGAGGCUAGCGAAAUUUGGAUGGGGGCAGGGUGGCAGCUGGGAGAAAUCUCUGCAUCUCAGCCCUCAGCGACAACAUCCAGCCAGUGCCCACAGAAAAACUAAAUUCGGCACCUCUUCCUCCUGUUACACUGGCAACAAAGAGGGAGUUUCCGUAACGCUCCCGUCACCCACCAGUUCAGCAAAAAGGCAACGUUCUUGUAGUCUCUGGGGCUUGGAAGAGGCAUGACCCUUCGGCAUUCUAUCUUCAUUGGGAUUUUCAUUCAUGGGUGCAAAGACUCAGAACAGUAGGACUUCCUGGAUGGCAGAUCAGCUCACUCACCC